CUAAAACCGCAUAAGCGCACAGGGUCGCAUGACCCGGUGUGAAAAACUCCGGUGGUAUGAGAUGGACCCGCGUCUGAUUAGCUAGUUGGUGGGGUAACGGCCUACCAAGGCAACGAUCAGUAGCCGGCCUGAGAGGGUGAACGGCCACAUUGGGACUGAGACACGGCCCAAACUCCUACGGGAGGCAGCAGUGGGGAAUAUUGCACAAUGGGGGAAACCCUGAUGCAGCGACGCCGCGUGAGUGAAGAAGUAUUUCGGUAUGUAAAGCUCUAUCAGCAGGGAAGAAAAUGACGGUACCUGACUAAGAAGCCCCGGCUAACUACGUGCCAGCAGCCGCGGUAAUACGUAGGGGGCAAGCGUUAUCCGGAUUUACUGGGUGUAAAGGGAGCGUAGACGGCGAAGCAAGUCUGAUGUGAAAGGCAGGGGCUCAACCCCUGGACUGCAUUGGAAACUGUUUUGCUAGAGUGCCGGAGAGGUAAGCGGAAUUCCUAGUGUAGCGGUGAAAUGCGUAGAUAUUAGGAGGAACACCAGUGGCGAAGGCGGCUUACUGGACGGUAACUGACGUUGAGGCUCGAAAGCGUGGGGAGCAAACAGGAUUAGAUACCCUGGUAGUCCACGCCGUAAACGA
rnacentral:rRNA from 1 species